rnacentral:misc_RNA from 1 species
GUCUUCUUCGCCCCCAUUCCAAAACACCUCUCCUCUUCCUCCACCUCCUCGGCUGUCGUCUAUCGUUGGAGCCACUCUUUGUCUUGUUUUGGUAGUAAAGGGAUUGUAAAGAGAGAAAUUUUAUAAUGAGAGAUGGUGGGUUUAAGCAUAGUUUUGGAGGCACAAAAGGGUGGUGUUAACGAGAAAACCCCACAACUGAUCAGCAAAGCCAUUGUGAUGAUCAAUAAACCCUCUCCUUCUUCAAGCUCUUUUUCUUCCCACUCGUCUUUUCCGGC